UUGAAGGCGUGGAGACUGAAGUCCUCUCUAUAUCCACAGAACAGGUAUGGCACAGGCAGCGGCAGUGCAGCUUGUCCACUGUCCCACCAUGUGCCUCAGUCCUCGUCUAGAGGGAACGUGCUUAGGGUAAGAGGGUUAUUCGGUCUCCAUGUUCUUCAAUCUGUGACUUCU
rfam:Echinops telfairi cont1.226830, whole genome shotgun sequence.